rnacentral:rRNA from 1 species
AUACGGAGGGUGCGAGCGUUGUUCGGCAUUAUUGGGCGUAAAGAGCAUGUAGGCGGUCUGUUAAGUCUGGUGUGAAAGCCCGGGGCUCAACCCCGGAAGUGCAUUGGAUACUGGCAGACUUGAGUAUGGGAGAGGAAAGCGGAAUUCCGAGUGUAGGAGUGAAAUCCGUAGAUAUUCGGAGGAACACCAGUGGCGAAGGCGGCUUUCUGGACCAAUACUGACGCUGAGAUGCGAAAGCGUGGGGAGCGAACAGGAUUAGAAACCCCAGUAGUCC